AACGAACGCUGGCGGCGUGCCUAACACAUGCAAGUCGAACGGAAUUAAGGGGCUUGCUCCUUAAUUUAGUGGCGCACGGGUGAGUAAUGCGUGGAUAACCUACCCUGGUAUCCGGGAUAACAUCUCGAAAGGGGUGCUAAUACGGGAUAAGCCCACGGGGUCUUCGGAUCCUGCGGGAAAAGGUGGCCUCUGACUCAAGCUACUGUAUCAGGAUGGGUCCACGUACCAUUAGCUAGUUGGUGGGGUAACGGCCUACCAAGGCUACGAUGGUUAGCUGGUCUGAGAGGAUGAUCAGCCACACUGGAACUGAGACACGGUCCAGACUCCUACGGGAGGCAG
rnacentral:rRNA from 1 species